rnacentral:lncRNA from 1 species
GUGACUUUUUACUUUCUUCAACGCUUCACCAGUUCUAGAAAUAUCGACCGCCUUCGAGUCAUCGACAAGAAAUUUGGAGCAGGUGUCAUUUUUCAGUUGUGGGCAAACUUAACAGGAGCAGCGACCACGUGUGACUUCGGAUUGGAGGUGAUCGCGGUGAAAUUGUUUUUUGGCGUGCUAAUCUAAUGGCUUUCGAAUACAUUCAUUCAAAUAUUAAACGCACCAGUAAAUGGAUUUACUUCUGCAAAUUGAGGCGGGAGAGCGAAAAUCGUAAUUUUAUGGAUGGUCAUUCCCAACACGGCAACACUUAUGGCUCUUUUCCUUUAAUUUUCUUCUUUGAAUUUUCCUUUGAUUAAUCAUUAAAAAACUGCUUUAAUUUUUUUUU